rnacentral:rRNA from 1 species
UACAGAGGUCUCAAGCGUUGUUCGGAUUCAUUGGGCGUAAAGGGUGUGUAGGUGGCGCCGUAAGUCGGGUGUGAAAUUUCGGAGCUUAACUCCGAAACUGCAUUCGAUACUGCGGUGCUUGAGGACUGGAGAGGAGACUGGAAUUCAUGGUGUAGCAGUGAAAUGCGUAGAUAUCGGGAAGAACACCAACGGCGAAGGCAGCUCGCUAGGACGGUACUGACGCUGAGACGCGAAAGCGUGGGGAGCAAACAGG